rnacentral:rRNA from 1 species
GAUGAACGCUAGCGGCAGGCCUAAUACAUGCAAGUCGAACGGUGUCUUCGGACAUAGUGGCGCACGGGUGCGUAACACGUAUGCAACCUACCUUACGUUGGGGGAUAGCCUUUCGAAAGGGAGAUUAAUACCGCAUAAGACAGUAGCUGGGCAUCCAGCAGCUGUUAAAGAUUUAUCGAUGUAAGCUGGGCAUGCGUCCAAUUAGCUAGUUGGUGAGGUAACGGCUCGCCAAGGCAAUGAUUGGUAGGGGAACUGCGAGGUCAAUCCCCCACACUGGCACUGAGAUACGGGCCAGACUCCUACGGGAGGCAGCAGUAGGGAAUAUUGGGGAUGGACGCAAGUCUGACCCAGCCAUGCCGCGGGCAGGAUGAAGGCGUUAUGCGGUGUAAACUGCUUUUAUACAGGAAGAAACGACUCUUGCGAGAGGCAUUGACGGUACUGUAUGAAUAAGCACCGGCUAACUACGUGCCAGCCGCCGCCGUAAUAC